rnacentral:rRNA from 1 species
AGGAUGAACGCUGGCGGCGUGCUUAACACAUGCAAGUCGAACGAUGAAAGCCGGAGCUUGCUCUGGCUGGAUUAGUGGCGAACGGGUGAGUAACACGUGAGUAACCUGCCCUUGACUCUGGGAUAAGCACUGGAAACGGUGUCUAAUACCGGAUACGAGCUUCAGCCGCAUGGCUAGGAGCUGGAAAGAAUUUCGGUCAAGGAUGGACUCGCGGCCUAUCAGGUAGUUGGUGAGGUAAAGGCUCACCAAGCCGACGACGGGUAGCCGGCCUGAGAGGGUGACCGGCCACACUGGGACUGAGACACGGCCCAGACUCCUACGGGAGGCAGCAGUGGGGAAUAUUGCACAAUGGGCGCAAGCCUGAUGCAGCAACGCCGCGUGAGGGACGACGGCCUCGGUGUAACGUCUUUACGUAGGAGAAGAGAUGUGUUUAUACGGAGUGACGGUACCGUGCAGAAAAGACACCGGACUAACUACGUAGCCAACACGCCGCGUAACG